rnacentral:rRNA from 1 species
ACUCCUACGGGAGGCAGCAGUGGGAAAUUUUGGACAAUGGGCGAAAGCCUGAUCCAGCCAUUCCGCGUGAGUGAAGAAGGCCUUCGGGUUGUAAAGCUCUUUCGGCAGGAACGAAAUGGUUACGGUUAAUAACCGUGACUUCUGAUGGUACCUGAAGAAGAAGCACCGGCUAACUACGUGCCAGCAGCCGCGGUAAU